AUGAACGCUGGCGGCGUGCCUAAUCCCUGCAAGUCGAGCGAACAGACGAGGAGCUUGCUCCUCUGACGUUAGCGGCGGACGGGUGAGUAACACGUGGAUAACCUACCUAUAAGACUGGGAUAACUUCGGGAAACCGGAGCUAAUACCGGAUAAUAUAUUGAACCGCAUGGUUCAAUAGUGAAAGACGGUUUUGCUGUCACUUAUAGAUGGAUCCGCGCCGCAUUAGCUAGUUGGUAAGGUAACGGCUUACCAAGGCAACGAUGCGUAGCCGACCUGAGAGGGUGAUCGGCCACACUGGAACUGAGACACGGUCCAGACUCCUACGGGAGGCAGCAGUAGGGAAUCUUCCGCAAUGGGCGAAAGCUUGACGGAGCAACGCCGCGUGAGUGAUGAAGGUCUUCGGAUCGUAAAACUCUGUUAUUAGGGAAGAACAAAUGUGUAAGUAACUAUGCACGUCUUGACGGUACCUAAUCAGAAAGCCACGGCUAACUACGUG
rnacentral:rRNA from 1 species